rnacentral:rRNA from 1 species
GAUGAACGCUGGCGGCGUGCCUAAUACAUGCAAGUCGAGCGAACAGACGAGGAGCUUGCUCCUCUGACGUUAGCGGCGGACGGGUGAGUAACACGUGGAUAACCUACCUAUAAGACUGGGAUAACUUCGGGAAACCGGAGCUAAUACCGGAUAAUAUAUUGAACCGCAUGGUUCAAUAGUGAAAGACGGUUUUGCUGUCACUUAUAGAUGGAUCCGCGCCGCAUUAGCUAGUUGGUAAGGUAACGGCUUACCAAGGCGACGAUGCGUAGCCGACCUGAGAGGGUGAUCGGCCACACUGCAACUGAGACACGGUCCAGACUCCUACGGGAGGCAGCAGUAGGGAAUCUUCCGCAAUGGGCGAAAGCCUGACGGAGCAACGCCGCGUGAGUGAUGAAGGUCUUCGGAUCGUAAAACUCUGUUAUUAGGGAAGAACAAAUGUGUAAGUAACUAUGCACGUCUUGACGGUACCUAAUCAGAAAGCCACGGCUAACUACG